rnacentral:lncRNA from 1 species
AAAAGAGAGCUUGCCUCUCCGAUUUCAUAUAAAGAAAUCAACCGUUCAGACUCCAGACAAACCAAACCGAAACCUCCAACAAACUGGCGAUGAUAUAUGUUGGAGAGGAAGCCAUCCCUUCCGUCUCCCCCAUAUCAUCAUCUUGCCAGAAUAUUUGGUAGAUCCCUAACGAAGAUCACGCAAACUAGACUCCAGGAAACAUCGCUAGCUAUUACAUCAUUCAAAGCCACACACAGGGGCAAAUUGCAUAGUUACAGCCUUUUGAUUAGGAUAGGAAGACGAGAGAAGGCAGGAAGGCUAGUAGCAAGCGCAGAGAAGAUCAGGCAUCAGCGUAGUCGAUCUAGGGACCACCAAGUCUUGGAACUCCAGUUGCCCAGCCGCGCGUCGCCUUGAAGAUCUCCAUGGCCACCCGCUCAACCUGAUUUACGCCCCCCUUCAUGAGAUCUAUUUUUUCUUGGCUUUUCUGCAACACACACCACUCAUGUACGUUUUUAAUAAUCAAGUUAACAGGAACACAGGGAUCAGUAACCCUAUGAUUAUCAAAGACUAAUCUAUUCCUUAAUUUCCACAUUGUCCACAACAUUGCCGAAAUACCCACAAUCAUGAGGUUCCUAUUAUCUUUACCAAAUUUGUUUAGCCAUUGCCCAAAGAUGUCAUUGAUUUUUCCAGGGAUAUCAUGAAUAUUAAAAGAGCAUUUUAAAACCAUCCACAGCAUCUUAGCAACAGAACAGUGGACAAAAAGGUGCUCAUUAUCUUCUUCUCUCCCACAAAAGGAGCAUUUUGUGUCUCCCUUCCACCCCCUCCUUUUAAGAUUCUGCUUGGUCAGAACACUUCCCCUAAGCAGCAACCAAAUUUAAAACUUAACUCUAGGGGGCAUUUUCACUUUCCAUAAAAAUUUAUAUGGAUAUUUCAUUUCAUUCUGGAUCAAAUGUCUAUAACAGGUUUUCACACUAUAAUUUCCAUCCCCAGUAAGAGUCCACCUAAUCUUAUCAGAGGACUCAUCAAGCACCACACUUUCGCACGCCUCUUUGAUAUGUUCCCAUAACAGCGAUCUCCUAAAGCCUAUAUUAUCUAGUCCUUUUUCCAGAACCCAGGCCACUGACUUCUCCUUGUCAAAGCAUAUAUUAUAUAUACGUGGGUAACUAUCUUUCAAGGCUUUUGGGCCAAUCCACCAAUCUUCCCAGAACCGGGUAUUCUCUCCAUUCCCCACAACAAAUUUGCACAAGGAAAAGAAGAAAUCCUUGUGUUUCAACAUCUCUCCCCAGAAUUGCGAGUCCCCUUUUCUCUUUUUCACACUAGUGACACAAUUAUUUUUAACAUAUUUUUCCCUCAGGUGAUAGACUGAGCUCCAUCGCCGGCAUGGUCGCCGCCGCGUGGCUGGCCGCGAUGGACGUCAGGGUGGACGGCGGCAAGCACUCUCACGAGUUAUGCGAUGCCUGGGUGUGGCUGCUCCAUUCACAUCAUAGACGGCCUCGGCCACCAAGGUAAACGGUCGCCGGCGGCCGCGCACACAUGAUGGAGGUGCGAGGGCAGGCAAGCAGCAGCCCAGUCAGAGCCUAUUCCGGGAGAAAGCAACGACCUCGGUGCCAGGGAAAGCGCCGUCGCCGGUCGAUAGCACGUGGAGCUGUGCGGGCCUAACUGGAGGCGAGCAGCAGCCAGGGCGGAGGAAGAAUCAUAUCUGGAGCUUGGUCAUGUACUCUCGUCAAUGGACGAUAGAGGAAGAAGGAGAAGGUCACGGGCUCACGGAUGACACGGAAAAGAAAAAUAAGAGUUGGUUAUCCAAACAAUGGACUGUACCAGCCCGGUUCUAUUCUUUGCUAACCAAAACAAAGUUUUCUAUAAACUCGUUAAUCAUAAAAAAAAAUACUAAAACCGGUUUUACAAAAAUUCAGCUAAAAACUUGUACUAUAUAUACCCAUGGCUAAAAUUCACUAUCCAAACAACGCCGUAGGGCAAAUCGUUUAGACCAUCACACCUUUGGUAGAUUGACCAAAGGCGCUCGAACUCAACUGACACGUCACAGGACCUUCGCCAAACGUAGUGCUCCGAACUCUGCAAAAACUCUAGGUUAAUACUGUUGAAUUCGAAUAUUGAUGUUAUGCAGAAUUAACAGCACCAUUGCAUAAAUUAUGCCAAAACUACCAGGGCAGAAUCACAGCAUUAUGAAAACUAGCAUCUCUUCAGUGUCAAAUGACAUUUUGUAAAUUCCAACCACAACAUCGUUAUACUGUUCGGAUAUAAUUUACUUCAUCAACUCUUUCUUCUCAAGUUCUCAUGUAAAACCUUUUCUUUAUGAAAUGUGCCUGGC